ACGAUGUUCCGCUGUCUAUUUUGAUACACAAGAACAUCUG
rfam:Bacillus sp. TS-2 DNA, contig: BspTS2nb21.